GGCUCAGAUUGAACGCUGGCGGCAGGCCUAACACAUGCAAGUCGAACGGUAACAGGAAACAGCUUGCUGUUUCGCUGACGAGUGGCGGACGGGUGAGUAAUGUCUGGGAAACUGCCUGAUGGAGGGGGAUAACUACUGGAAACGGUAGCUAAUACCGCAUAACGUCGCAAGACCAAAGAGGGGGACCUUCGGGCCUCUUGCCAUCGGAUGUGCCCAGAUGGGAUUAGCUAGUAGGUGGGGUAACGGCUCACCUAGGCGACGAUCCCUAGCUGGUCUGAGAGGAUGACCAGCCACACUGGAACUGAGACACGGUCCAGACUCCUACGGGAGGCAGCAGUGGGGAAUAUUGCACAAUGGGCGCAAGCCUGAUGCAGCCAUGCCGCGUGUAUGAAGAAGGCCUUCGGGUUGUAAAGUACUUUCAGCGGGGAGGAAGGGAGUAAAGUUAAUACCUUUGCUCAUUGACGUUACCCGCAGAAGAAGCACCGGCUAACUCCGUGCCAGCAGCCGCGGUAAUACGGAGGGUGCAAGCGUUAAUCGGAAUUACUGGGCGUAAAGCGCACGCAGGCGGUUUGUUAAGUCAGAUGUGAAAUCCCCGGGCUCAACCUGGGAACUGCAUCUGAUACUGGCAAGCUUGAGUCUCGUAGAGGGGGGUAGAAUUCCAGGUGUAGCGGUGAAAUGCGUAGAGAUCUGGAGGAAUACCGGUGGCGAAGGCGGCCCCCUGGACGAAGACUGACGCUCAGGUGCGAAAGCGUGGGGAGCAAACAGGAUUAGAUACCCUGGUAGUCCACGCCGUAAACGAUGUCGACUUGGAGGUUGUGCCCUUGAGGCGUGGCUUCCGGAGCUAACGCGUUAAGUCGACCGCCUGGGGAGUACGGCCGCAAGGUUAAAACUCAAAUGAAUUGACGGGGGCCCGCACAAGCGGUGGAGCAUGUGGUUUAAUUCGAUGCAACGCGAAGAACCUUACCUGGUCUUGACAUCCACGGAAGUUUCCAGAGAUGGAUUGGUGCCUUCGGGAACUGUGAGACAGGUGCUGCAUGGCUGUCGUCAGCUCGUGUUGUGAAAUGUUGGGUUAAGUCCCGCAACGAGCGCAACCCUUAUCCUUUGUUGCCAGCGGUCCGGCCGGGAACUCAAAGGAGACUGCCAGUGAUAAACUGGAGGAAGGUGGGGAUGACGUCAAGUCAUCAUGGCCCUUACGACCAGGGCUACACACGUGCUACAAUGGCGCAUACAAAGAGAAGCGACCUCGCGAGAGCAAGCGGACCUCAUAAAGUGCGUCGUAGUCCGGAUUGGAGUCUGCAACUCGACUCCAUGAAGUCGGAAUCGCUAGUAAUCGUGGAUCAGAAUGCCACGGUGAAUACGUUCCCGGGCCUUGUACACACCGCCCGUCACACCAUGGGAGUGGGUUGCAAAAGAAGUAGGUAGCUUAACCUUCGGGAGGGCGCUUACCACUUUGUGAUUCAUGACUGGGGUGAAGUCGUAACAAGGUAACCGUAGGGGAACCUGCGGUUGGAUCACC
rnacentral:rRNA from 1 species